GACGAACCGUGCAAACGUUGUUCGGAAUCACUGGGCUUAAAGGGCGCGUAGGCGGCUUGUCAAGUCAGGGGUGAAAUCUUUCGGCUCAACCGGAAAAGUGCCCUUGAUACUGACGAGCUCGAGGGAGGUAGGGGUGUGUGGAACUUCUGGUGGAGCGGUGAAAUGCGUUGAUAUCAGAAGGAACGCCGGUGGCGAAAGCGACGCACUGGACCUCUUCUGACGCUGAGGCGCGAAAGCUAGGGGAGCAAACGGG
rnacentral:rRNA from 1 species